rnacentral:rRNA from 1 species
GCAAGCCCCAUAUUGCACUGAAAGCACACGAUCUUGUCUGAUCUUGGAAGCUAAGCAGCGUUGGGCCUAGUUAGUACUUGGUUGGGAGUUUUGUACUUUGAUUGUGGCCUUCA